rnacentral:rRNA from 2 species
GGGCUGCCCGAGCUCUGAUAGAGUUUGAUCCUGGGACGAACGCUGGCGGCGUGCCUAAUACAUGCAAGUCGAGCGGACGGAUGGGAGCUUCCCUGAAGUCAGCGGCGGACGGGUGAGUAACACGUGGGCAACCUGCCUGUAAGACUGGGAUAACUCCGGGAAACCGGGGCUAAUACCGGAUAACUCUUUUCCUCACAUGAGGAAUGAAAGAUGGUUUCGGCUAUCACUUACAGAUGGGCCCGCGGCGCAUUAGCUAGUUGGUGAGGUAACGGCUCACCAAGGCCACGAUGCGUAGCCGACCUGAGAGGGUGACCACACUGGGACUGAGACACGGCCCAGACUCCUACGGGAGGCGCAGUAGGGAAUCUUCCGCAAUGGACGAAAGGACGGAGCAACGCCGCGUGAGUGAAGGUUUUCGGAUCGUAAAACUCUGUUAGGGAAGAACAAGUACCGGAGUAACUGCCGGUACCUUGACGGUACCUGACCAGAAAGCCACGGCUAACUACGUGCCAGCAGCCGCGGUAAUACGUAGGUGGCAAGCGUUGUCCGGAAUUAGGCGUAAAGCGCGCGCAGGCGGUUCCUUAAGUCUGAUGUGAAAGCCCCCGGCUCAGGGGAGGGUCAUUGGAAACUGGGGAACUUGAGUGUAGAGAAGAGUGGAAUUCCACGUGUAGCGGUGAAAUGCGUAGAGAUGUGGAGGAACACCAGUGGCGGGCGACUCUUUGGUCUGUAACUGACGCUGAAGCGCGAAAGCGUGNGGAGCAAACAGGAUUAGAUACGGUAGUCCACGCCGUAAACGAUGAGUGCUAAGUG